rnacentral:misc_RNA from 1 species
AAGUCGUAACAAGGUUUCCGUAGGUGAACCUGCGGAAGGAUCAUUAGUCUAUGCCGUCCUGGAAACGGGCCACGGCGUCGGGUCUCGCUUUGAAAAAAGUGUGGGCUGUCUGAAAACCCUUGAAUAUAAAACUUUGUUGCUUUGGCGGGGCCGCCUCUUUUGGCGUCGGCCACGGCUGACAGUGCCCGCCAGAGGCCAAAAACUCUACUGUCUUUGACGUCUGAGUACUAUAUAAUAGUUAAAACUUUCAACAACGGAUCUCUUGGUUCUG